AUGGAGCAGCAGCACGGGCAGGACUCCGAGGCUCCGCUGCUGGCCGCCUCGAAGCCCGAUGGCGCCGCGUCGUCGCCGCCGCCCCGCAACAGGUUCCCCUUCUUCUGUGCCGUGCUCGCCUCCAUGACCUCCGUCCUCAUGGGCUACAACGUGGCGGUGAUGAGCGGGGCGCAGAUCUUCAUGGCGGAAGACCUUGGGGUGAGCGACACGCAGAUUGAGCUGCUCUCCGGUGCCAUCAACAUCUACUCGCUCGUCGGCGCGCUGCUCGCUGGCUGGACCUCCGACCGCCUCGGCCGCCGCCUCACCAUUGUGCUCACCAACGGCUUCUUCCUCGUUGGCCCGCUUAUCAUGACGCUCGCCGGCGGGUACACGGCGCUCAUGGUGGGGCGCUUCAUCGCUGGAAUCGGCGUCGGUUACGCGCUCGUAAUCGCGCCGAUCUACGCUGCCGAGAUCGCGCCGGCCUCCUCCCGCGGCCUUCUCAGCUCCCUUCCCGAGAUUUUUAUCAACACCGGGGUGAUGCUGAGCUACGUUUCCAACUUCGCCUUCUCGGCGUUGCCAGCGCACCUGGCGUGGCGGCUGAUGUUCGCGGCCGGGGUUGUGCCCACCGUGUUUCUGGCGGCUGGCGUGCUCACCAUGCCGGAGUCGCCGCGGUGGCUGGCGAUGAAGGGCCGGCUGGACGAGGCGAAAGCCGUGCUCGACAGGACGUCGGACACGCUCGCCGAGGCCGAGCAGCGUCUGCUGGAGAUCGAGGAGGUUGUCAACGCCGGCAGCAACGGCGCCGGCGGGAGCAACGGCGGUGGCGGCACGUGGAAUGAGGUGGCGACCAAGGCCGGCGUCAGGCGCGUGCUGGCCACAGUUCUGGCGCUGCAGUUCUUCCAGCAGGCGUCGGGCAUCGACUCGGUGGUGCUCUACGGCCCGCGCGUGCUCGCCAUGGCCGGCGUCACUUCUAACACCCUCCUCCUGGGCCUCAACGUCCUCUUCGGCGUGGCCAAGGCGGGCUCGAUCCUGAUCGCCAUGGCGCUCGCCGACCGCGUCGGCCGGCGCCCUCUGCUACUGGUGAGCACCGGCGGCAUGACGGCGUCCCUGCUGGUCCUGGGCUCCGUGUUCGCUGCUUUCGCCGGCGCCAAGGACGACGCGGCGGUGGCCGCCGUGGCCGUGGCCGCUGUGGUGGCGUUCGUCUGCACCUUCUCCGUCGGGUUCGGGCCUAUGGCAUGGGUGUACAGCUCGGAGAUCCUCCCUCUGCGGCUGCGCGGACAGGGCGCCGGGCUCGGCACCGCCAUGAACCGCGUGAUGAGCGGCAUCGUCACCAUGACCUUCAUCUCGCUCUACGGGGCCAUCACCAUGGCCGGCGCAUUCUACCUUUAUGCCGCCGUCGCGGCUGCCUCGUUCGUGUUCAUCUACACCUGCCUGCCGGAGACCAGGGGCCGGAACCUCGAGGACAUGGAGCAGCUUUUCCGCACAAAAUGA
rnacentral:rRNA from 1 species